rnacentral:sRNA from 2 species
UCAUACGAGGAUCGCCAUCAGUCAGCGCGUUGCGCCCACUGGUGCGAUUGUC